AGUGAACGCUGGCGGUAGGCCUAACACAUGCAAGUCGAACGGCAGCACAGUAAGAGCUUGCUCUUACGGGUGGCGAGUGGCGGACGGGUGAGGAAUACAUCGGAAUCUACUUUUUCGUGGGGGAUAACGUAGGGAAACUUACGCUAAUACCGCAUACGACCUACGGGUGACAGCAGGGGAUCUUCGGACCUUGCGCGAUUGAAUGAGCCGAUGUCGGAUUAGCUAGUUGGCGGGGUAAAGGCCCACCAAGGCGACGAUCCGUAGCUGGUCUGAGAGGAUGAUCAGCCACACUGGAACUGAGACACGGUCCAGACUCCUACGGGAGGCAGCAGUGGGGAAUAUUGGACAAUGGGCGCAAGCCUGAUCCAGCCAUACCGCGUGGGUGAAGAAGGCCUUCGGGUUGUAAAGCCCUUUUGUUGGGAAAGAAAAGCAGCAGGUUAAUACCCCGCUGUUCUGACGGUACCCAAAGAAUAAGCACCGGCUAACUUCGUG
rnacentral:rRNA from 1 species